rnacentral:tRNA from 1 species
GGGGUGUUAGCUCAGUUGGCAGAGCACUAGGUUCGCAAUCUAGAGAUCACGGGUUCGACUCCCGUACACUCCACCA